rnacentral:lncRNA from 1 species
CCAUCUCCCUUGUGAUGUAGAUGUCAGUGGUCGGUGUGGUAUCCAUCUCCUUUGUAGAUGUCAGUGGUCGGUGUGGUACCCAUCUCCCUUGUGAUAUAGAUGUCAGUGGUCGGUGUGGUAUCCAUCUCCCUUGUAGAUGUCAGU